GGCAGGCCUAACACAUGCAAGUCGAGCCCGCCCUUCGGGGUGAGCGGCGGACGGGUUAGUAACGCGUGGGAACGUGCCCUUUGGUACGGAAUAGCCUCUGGAAACGGAGAGUAAUACCGUAUGAGCCCUUCGGGGGAAAGAUUUAUCGCCAAAGGAUCGGCCCGCGUUAGAUUAGGUAGUUGGUGGGGUAAUGGCCUACCAAGCCUACGAUCUAUAGCUGGUUUUAGAGGAUGAUCAGCCACACUGCCACUGAGACACGGCCCAGACUCCUACGGGAGGCAGCAGUGGGGAAUCUUGGACAAUGGGGGCAACCCUGAUCCAGCCAUGCCGCGUGAGUGAUGAAGGCCCUAGGGUNGUAAAGCUCUUUCGCCUGUGAAGAUAAUGACGGUAGCAGGUAUAGAAUCCCCGGCAAACUCCGUGCCAGCAGCCGCGGUAAUACGGAGGGGGUUAGCGUUGUUCGGAAUUACUGGGCGUAAAGCGCACGUAGGCGGACUGGAAAGUUGGUGGUGAAAUCCCGGGGCUCAACCCCGGAACGGCCUCCAAAACUAUCAGUCUAGAGUUCGAGAGAGGUGAGUGGAAUUCCGAGUGUAGAGGUGAAAUUCGUAGAUAUUCGGAGGAACACCAGUGGCGAAGGCGGCUCACUGGCUCGAUACUGACGCUGAGGUGCGAAAGUGUGGGGAGCAAACAGGAUUAGAUACCCUGGUAGUCCACGCCGUAAACGAUGAAUGCCAGUCGUCGGGUAGCAUGCUAUUCGGUGACACACCUAACGGAUUAAGCAUUCCGCCUGGGGAGUGCGGUCGCAAGAUUAAAACUCAAUGGAAUUGACGGGGGCCCGCACAAACGGUGGAGCAUGUGGUUUAAUUCGAAGCAACGCGCAGAACCUUACCAACCCUUGACAUCC
rnacentral:rRNA from 1 species